rnacentral:tRNA from 1 species
GCCGCUGUGGUGGAAUAGGCAGACACAAGGGACUUAAAAUCCCUCGUCCUUUAAAGACGUACCGGUUCAAGUCCGGUUAGCGGCACCA